rnacentral:lncRNA from 1 species
ACUCGUCAACGAAUCAAAUUCAGUGAUGACAGAGUAUGAAAGAGCCACCUUCUCAACUGUUGCCCCCACGAUGUCCUUUCUGGAACAAGAAUGGAUCUUGGAGAAUGCUUGAAAGUCCAUGACCUGGCUUUAAGAGCAGAUUAUGAAAUUGUGUCCAAAGAACAAGACUUUUUCUUUGAACUUGAUGCCAUGGAUCAUCUGCAGUCAUUCAUUGCAGAUUGUGAUAGAAGAACAGAAGUACCUAAGAAAAGAUUAGCAGAAACUCAAGAAGAGAUACGUGCUGAAGUGGCUGCAAAGGCAGAGCGUGUUCAUGAGUUAAAUGAGGAAAUAGGCAAGUUGUUGGCCAAAGUGGAACAACUAGGAGCUGAAGGAAAUGUGGAAGAAUCUCAGAAAGUCAUGGAUGAAGUAGAGAAAGCACAGGCAAAGAAAACAGAAGCAGAGGAAGUUUAUCGGAAUUCUACGCUUCCAGCUUCCAGCUUUCAACAGCAGUAACUUCGUGUCUAUGAAGUCUGCUCUGUGUGUUUAGGUCUUCAUGAUAAUGACAGACGACUUGCUGAUCAUUUUGGGGGUAAAUUGCACCUGGGAUUUAUUGAAAUAAGAGAGAAGCUGGAAGAAUUAGAGUUGUAGCUGAGAAGCAGGAGAAGAGAAACCAGGAACGUCUGAAACGAAGAGAAGAGAGGGAGAGAGAAGAACGGGAGAAACUGAGGAGAUCUAGAUCCAGAGAGCAUCGCAGACACCGAUCUCGCUCCAUGUCACGAGGACGCAAGAGGAGGACUCGAUCCAAGUCUCGUGAGAAACGCCAUCGCCACAGGUCCAGGUCCAGUAGCCGAAGCCGCAGCCAUAGCCACCAGAGAAGUCGGCACAGUUCAAGAGAUAGGAGCAGAGAGCGAUCCAGGAGGAGAUCCUCAAAAGAAAGAUUCGGAGAUCAAUACUUAGCAUCACGUGACAGAGACAGGAGUUCAAGAGACAGAUCACCUCGUGACCGAGAUCGAAAAGAUAAGAAGCGGUCCUAUGAGAGUGCUAAUGGCAGAUCAGAAGACAGGAGGAGCUCUGAAGAGCGUGAAGCAGGGGAGAUCUAA